rnacentral:misc_RNA from 1 species
AUUGCUUAUAGUAAUAUGUAUGCAUUUGUUUACAAGGUGAUUAUGCUCUCAAAUGAAGAUAGGUUAUCUGAAUUACAAAUUCAAAAGCUCUUUCAAGCUAUUGUCAAAAAAGAUGUUGAAAAAGUUAAGAAGAUUGUGCAUAAUGGAGUUCCUAAUUUAGUUAAUCUAGCAGAUCCUAUUCAAGGUAUAUAUAGCUUGCAUUUGGCUGUUCGAACAAAUAAUGAAACAUUAGUGAAAGUUUUGAUAAAUCUUGGUGCUGAUUGCAAUGUUAAAAGUUUGAAAGGAUGUACACCUUUCAUGGAAGCAGCAUAUUAUGGACACAUUCAAGCUUUAAAAUUGUUGUUGGAAUAUUUUCCCAAAGCCAACCUAGCAGUAACCGAUAAUUUAGGUAAAAAUGUUCUCCAUUAUUGCCUAUAUCCAACUAAAAGGCACACUCAUUGUUUACGAAGUGUUAUUAACUAUGGCAUUGAUGUUGAUUUAACUAUAGAUGACAAAUCUGUUUUGAUGUAUGCUUGUCAAGAUGGUCUUCAGGAGUCUGUAGGAAUUCUCUUGGAAGCUGGUAUUGAUGUUAACAAACAAAACAAGGUGGGUGAAACUGCACUUCACAUAGCAUGUUUCUAUGGUUUUAAAGAAUGUGUUCGGUUGCUAAUAAAAUACGGUGCAAACCUCGGCAUUUCUAAUGCAAAUGGUGAACGUGCUGUUCACAAAGCAGCUUUAGGCGGAUAUUUAGGUAUCCUCCAAGUCCUAUCUGCUCACAAUGCUGAUAUGAAUGUUACUACAAUUGAAAAUGAAACUCCACUGCAUUAUGCUGCCAGCUACGGUCACCAAACUGUUUGCAAGUAUUUGGUACAACGUGGUUGUUUUGCAAACGUCAAGAAUAAAAAUGGUCUUACUGCAACAAAUCUUGCAAAGGAAAAUGGUUUUAAAGAAGCCAUGAAAGUGUGUAAGAAAGAGGAAAACAUGAGAGAUUUAAUACAGUUCUCGAAGUUGUAUUUGAUAAAGCUUUAUGAUUGGAAUGUUGAAUAUCAGUUAUUAAUUGAACGCAAGAUGCAAGAAUGUGGUGUAAAUGAAAGUAUUGAUAACAUUGGCAAAAUAAACAUUCAUCAAUUUUUAGACGUUCUGUUGUUAUUCAAACCUCCUGUGUCUGAUUCUAUUCUAAUGGGUAUACUUAAAGAUCAUGAUUCAUCAGCAACUAACCUUAUAGAUUAUAAACUUUUUUUUUCUGGGAAAAAGUUUAUUAGUAAAAAAUUUAUGGUUAAUGGAGAAAAAAAGUUAAAAAAAGGAAAGAAAGGAAAUGGCAAAAAGGGUAAAUCAUCUAUUCUACCAAUUUAUACAAAAGUUUUGAACACACGCAUAAAAAGUGGUGGACCAUUAUCUAAUUUUAUUGAAAAGCAACAGCAAAUUACUGAUUCUUGUCGGUUUACUCCUGACCAUCCACCGAAACAUCCUAUUGUAGAUGACUCUUAUUGGUACAUGGAAAAUCCACCUUCACAAUAUAUUCAAAUUGACAAAGCCAUAAAAAUGGAAGAUGAGUUAUCUUUAAAGAUGGCUAUAAAAGAUGAUUCCAUUUUAAAAACUGAUGAUAAUUAUUACAAGACUCCUUUGAUGACAGCAACUCUAGCAGGAAAUUUAGAUGCUGUUAUGAUGUUUGUACAUUUUGGAGCUGAUGUAAAUGCGAAAGACAAUUUUAUGUGGACACCUUUGCAUUUUGCUUGCCAUAUUGGUCAAAAAGACUUGGUAGAGUUUUUGCUAUGCAAUGGUGCUCUUAUAAAUGCACAAUCGUCAAAUGGUGGUACACCUCUAAUGCGUGCUGUUGAAGCUUCAAAGAUUGAUGUUGUAAAAUUAUUGUUAGAGAAAGGAGCUAAUGUUCUGAUGAAAAAUAGUAAAGGAGAUUCAGUAUUAGAAAUAGCAAUGUCAUACGGAAAUUCUGAUAUCCUUGAGAUAAUUGAAGAAAAAUUGAAACAGUUGCCUCAGAAUGGAGUAAAGAAAAAAAACAAAAGCAUUCAGAAAAAAGAAAAAUUGAAAGGUAAUGAAAAGAUUAUGUUUACCUCCACACUACCACUAGCUAAUGUUGAAUUAAAAUCUGAGUUAAGUCAGAAAAGAAAUUAAGAGAUCAUUCUAUAUCGUAUACUGUGAAACAUGCAUGGAUGCCGCAGAUGGACACAGAGGCCUUUCUUUCUUUAUGUCAACGACGGCGGAAUCGCUUUGGUUGUGAAAUCGAUUUUACUGACUAUAAGGCUCCGUUUGAAAAACAUAUAAAAGAUCUCUUGACCGUGUUAGACGAAACAAAUUAACCCUUCUUUGGGCU